UCUUCUUCUUCUUCUCCAAGAAAAAAAACUAUUUUCAAUCUUCUUCUACAAAAGUUGACAGAUCUAGAAAAAAACCCUCCGACCUCAAGGUUGUCUCCUUUUUCUUUUGUGUCUCCUGUUUGUGUCGCCAUAUCCAGAUGAAGAUCUCCUUCAUCAAAUGGUAUUCUUUUGCUUUUUAUUUGGUGAAAUAUAUCUAAACAUCCUUGCCGCCGUUCUUAGAUUUUGAGUCGACUUUUUUUGGGUCUGCGGAAAGCAUUAAAGGAUAUAUUUGUUGGAUUUUUUUUAUUCAUUUCCAAUCGGACUAGAGGAUUUCAGACCCAAAUGGCUAAAUGGAUCGAAGUUUGUUGCUGCAUCAUAACAAAAUCAAGUUAUUAAUGGAUGAGUACAAUGGCAGAAGGCAAUUUUAUAGAACCAAAACAAAACCUUUCGGCCUCAAGGUGUUGGUUGAUUUCAAGGAAAAUCCCAAGGUUGCACAGGAACAUACAAAGAAUCCUAUGAUGAUGAACAAGAUCCAAAAGGUGGUUAAUGUUGGAAUUGUCCAGAUGAGGAGGAGUGUGUUUCUUUAGUUAACAGAAAAAGGCAACAAGUCACUUGAGUUGAAGAUUCAAAAUCAGGUGCUCUAAAAAAUGUCUCUGACGAGCAUGAAUUGUUGUGGUGGGAGCAUACCAACAUGACUGUUAGAGUAAACUAUAGAGAUGAAUAGAGGAACAAUUAUUAUAGAUGAUAUCACCUACAUUGAGAAGCUGCAAGACAAAGUCUAGAGUCUUAUCACUGAUUCUGUUUUGUUGUUUUGCAAUUAACUUUGGUUCACUGUAUCUCUUGAGAUAUUUUAAUUACCCUUCUUUGAAUUGUAAUGUAUUAGCUAUAAUUAUAUCUGUAUAUAUCAU